rnacentral:misc_RNA from 1 species
AACCCUCUCAUUCCAAUUCCUUAUUUGAUUAAGGAAAUGUGUAAUGGAUGUUGAGCGUUGCCGUCAUUGGCUCGCUUUAAAUUUAUAAGUACCUUUAUUGAAUAAAUAAAUGGAGAAAUACUUGGUGUAAUAUUUAUUAUUCAUUGAGGAAUGUAGUUUUGUUACUACAGCCAUUUGAGUUUUCAAUAGAUAGCUUCCUAACCCCAGUUUAUCAAACU